AUCCCUGUAGCGCAAUGGAGAGCACGUUGGACUUCUAAUCCAACGGUCGUGGGUUCGAGCCCCAGCUGGGAAG